GUUAGAACAUCAAGAAACCGAACGCGCAAAUCGGGAACAAUUUGCCGCCCCGAUGGAAAAGCAAAAGAGCCGUUUCGUGAUUCGGUCCAAACAGUGCCCAUCUAAAAUACGGACCCGCUAAUGAACUAUAAUCGAUGAGUGAUUAACACAUCCACGCCAAAUGCGAAUGCGAUCGAUCUCGACGACGGAUCAUCACCAUACUAAUAAAUACAAACAAAUCUAGACGAAUUGGAAAACAAAAAUUCAGCGAUUGUCAGCUCAAUCCUGCAGCCAGUGAAGAGGCGUCCUGGAAUGACCUGGUGCAAGAAAUUCUCCAAUGCAACGACCGAAACAACGCGAACCACAACAACCGCAACAAGGACAGAUGACCGGUGAAAGAUUCGUCUCAGUAGCAGAUGUACGUUGGAUGCUACGGCCAAGGAAUCCGGAUCUGCAAGGACCCGGUGACUUACGAGUGUUCUUAGUUAGUUAGCGUUCUUCAUGG